UUUACAUCAACACUCGAGAGUCAUACUACUGCCAGUGCUGGCCAUGCAGUGUACAGACUCGUGUCAGAAAGUUCAAGUGUGAAGACGUUGAUGAGUGCGUGGAGUCGCUUAGAUCCUCUCCCUGUGGACCAUCCCCUCAGCAGUGUUCGAUCCGCCCAGCAGCAGCAACGGUCAGGAGAAGGCGGUCAUUGAAGUGUCAACUCCCCAAGCUGGCACGGUGGAUUCAGUACUACUAACGCCAAAGAAGUGAGGCAAGUUUUUGGAGUGAGCGUGCAUGACA